AUUGAACGCUGGCGGCAUGCCUUACACAUGCAAGUCGAACGGUAGAGGGGGCAACCCCUCGAGAGUGGCGAACGGGUGAGUAAUGCAUCGGAACGUGCCCAGUAGUGGGGGAUAGCCCGGCGAAAGCCGGAUUAAUACCGCAUGAGACCUACGGGUGAAAGGGGGGGAUCGCAAGACCUCUCGCUAUUGGAGCGGCCGAUGUCAGAUUAGGUAGUUGGUGGGGUAAAGGCCCACCAAGCCGACGAUCUGUAGCUGGUCUGAGAGGACGACCAGCCACACUGGGACUGAGACACGGCCCAGACUCCUACGGGAGGCAGCAGUGGGGAAUUUUGGACAAUGGGCGAAAGCCUGAUCCAGCCAUGCCGCGUGCGGGAAGAAGGCCUUCGGGUUGUAAACCGCUUUUGUCAGGGAAGAAAUCCUUUGAGCUAAUACCUCGGGGGGAUGACGGUACCUGAAGAAUAAGCACCGGCUAACUACGUGCCAGCAGCAGCCGCCG
rnacentral:rRNA from 1 species